GGAGAGAUGCGAGAGCGGUUGAAUCGGACGGACUCGAAAUCCGUUGUACCGUUUACGGUACCGAGGGUUCGAAUCCCUCUCUCUCCG
rfam:Sediminispirochaeta smaragdinae DSM 11293 chromosome, complete genome.